UACGUAGGGUGCGAGCGUUGUCCGGAAUUAUUGGGCGUAAAGAGCUUGUAGGCGGUUUGUCGCGUCUGCCGUGAAAAUUCGAGGCUCAACCUCGAACUUGCGGUGGGUACGGGCAGACUAGAGUGUGGUAGGGGAGACUGGAAUUCCUGGUGUAGCGGUGAAAUGCGCAGAUAUCAGGAGGAACACCGAUGGCGAAGGCGGCAUCCUGGACCGGCAUUGACGCUGAGGCGCGAAAGCUAGGGGAGCAAACGGG
rnacentral:rRNA from 1 species